GGGAAAGAAAGAAAUCAGAGGUGGAUGGCAAAGAGUGUAAUUUUACCUGCUGUCUGGAAGCCAUCUGUGAAAGGACUCACCUUUCUCUUCUGAACUUACUUCCAGGUGCAGCAGCAGGGGAUGAUACUGAAGAUGCCAGCACUGAAUUCACUGACAGUAUUGAGGAGGAGGCUGCACACAACAGCCACCAGCAACUUACCAAGGUGGCUUUGGAGAAAAGCUCGGCAACCAUGGAGACCCAGAGCACAUCUCUUUCCCCUCCAUCCCCAGUAGGAGGGGACAGUAACAGGUGUCUUCAGGAGGAAAUGCUCCACCUGAGGGCUGAGAUCCACCAGCACUUAGAGGAGAAGAGAAAAGCUGAAGGGGAACUUAAGGAGCUAAAGGCUCAAAUUGAGGAAGCAGGAUUCUCCUCUGUGUCCCACAUCAGGAAUACCAUGUUGAGCCUUUGCCUUGAGAAUGCAGAGCUGAAAGAGCAGAUGGGAGAAGCAAUGUCUGAUGGAUGGGAGAUGGAGGAAGACAAGGAGAAAGGCGAGGUGAUGGUGGAGACUGUGGUCGCCAAAGGGGAUCUGAAUGAGAGUACCCUUCAGGCUGAGUUCAGAAAGCUCCAGGGAAAACUGAAGAAUGCCCACAACAUCAUCAACCUCCUCAAAGAACACUUGGUACUAAGCAGCAAGGAAGGGAAUAAUAAACUUACUCCAGAGCUCCUUGCACACUUGACCAGGGAGAUUGACAGAAUGAACACAAACCUGGUUUGUUCUCCUGGGAAGAACCAAUGCCAAGAGGAGGAGUUGACCACAAGGCCUUGCCCCAGACCCCAGAGCCUUGAUCUUGGGGCCGCCUUGGCAGUGGAUACCCACCAAUUGGAUAACCAGUCUCAGGCCCAGGAUGCUAGGCCUCAAUCAGAAUUUAGCCUGCGUGGUUCUACCAAGCACCUGCGCUCUCAGCUGGCUCAGUGCAGACAAUGCUAUCAAGACCUUCAGGAGAAGCUACUGAUCUCAGAAGCAACUGUCUUUGCCCAGGCAAACCAGCUGGAGAAGUACAGAGCCAUAUUUAGUGAAUCCCUGGUGAAGCAGGACAGCAAGCAGGUCCAGGUGGAUCUCCAGGACCUGGGCUAUGAGACUUGUGGUCGAAGUGAAAAUGAGGCUGAACGUGAGGAGACCACCAGCCCUGAAUGUGAGGAGCACAACAGCCUGGUACUCAUGGAAGGGCUGUGCUCUGAGCAAGGGCGCCUGGGCCUAGCCCUCACACACCCUCCUGGGAAGAAGCCUUCAGAGAGCCGGCUAGGGAAGCAGGAAGAGUCCCAGGCAUAUGGAAAGUCAGAAAACAUCUCUGUUCUACGAAAGGACAUUAAAGAUCUGAAAGCCCAGCUGCAGAAUGCCAACAAGGUCAUUCAGAACCUCAAGAGCCGUGUCCGGUCUCUCUCGGUUACAAGUGAUUAUUCAUCUAGUCUGGAAAGACCCCGGAAGCUGAGGGCUGUUGGCACCCUUGAGGGGUCUUCACCCCAUAGUGUCACUGAUGAGGAUGAGGGGUGGCUGUCUGAUGGCACUGGGGCUUUCUACCCUCCAGGCCUUCAGGCCAAAAAGGAUCUGGAGAGUCUUGUCCAGAGAGUAUCCCAGCUGGAGGCUCAGCUCCCAAAAACCGGAAUAGAAGGGAAGCUGGCCGAGGAGCUGAGAUCAGCCUCGUGGCCUGGGUAAGAAGUGCACUAUUUGAUUGAUGAUGUCUAAGUUUGUGCUUGGAAUUGAGUGACCUAGGUAGUUUGAAUGAAGACCAUAUCAACAUAGUAAGAAGGCACUUAUUUAAGUGGUGGUAAGUCUGAGAAGAUACUUAUUAUCAGCUAUCAUUAGUACAUUGU
ensembl:lincRNA